ensembl:ncRNA F31E8.15 ncRNA
UGACUUCCUGUGGCAUGCGCCGGCGGAAACAAAUCAUUGAGGGCGGAGUCGCCGGGCGCUGCUCGGUUAGAGAGUUUCGCAGCACAAAAAGUGUGGAAACGGGUAGUUGAAGCAAUGGAAACAGAGAGCGCAAA